GGAUUGCCCCUAGUAACUGCGAGUGAAGCGGGAAAAGCUCAAAUUUAAAAUCUGGUGGCCUCUGGUCAUCCGAGUUGUAAUUUAGAGAAGCGUCUUCCGCGCUGGACCAUGCACAAGUCUCCUGGAAUGGAGCGUCAUAGAGGGUGAGAAUCCCGUCUUUGGCAUGGACACACCAGGGCUUCCGUGAUGCGCUCUCAAAGAGUCGAGUUGUUUGGGAAUGCAGCUCAAAAUGGGUGGUGAACUCCAUCUAAAGCUAAAUAUUGGCGAGAGACCGAUAGCGAACAAGUACCGUGAGGGAAAGAUGAAAAGCACUUUGGAAAGAGAGUGAAACAGUACGUGAAAUUGUUGAAAGGGAAACGCUUGAAGUCAGUCGCGUCGACCGAGACUCAGCCUUGCCUCGGCUUGGUGUACUUCUCGGCCGACGGGUCAGCAUCAAUUUUGGGCCUUGGAUAAUGACGGGGGAAAGGUAGCACCUUUACGGGUGUGUUAUAGUCUCCCGUCGGAUGCAAGGGYCGGGAUUGAGGAACUCAGCACGCGCCUUUUGGCGUCGGGGCUUCGGCCCACGCUUACGUGCUUAGGAUGCUGGCAUAAUGGCUUUAAACGACCCGUCUUGAAACACGGACCAAGGAGUCUAACAUGCCCGCGAGUGUUCGGGUGGAAAACCCGUGCGCGUAAUGAAAGUAAAAGUUGGGACCUCUGUCGUGGAGAGCACCGACGCCCGGACCAGACCUUCUGUGACGGAUCUGCGGUAGAGCGUGCAUGUUGGGACCCGAAAGAUGGUGAACUAUGCUUGAAUAGGGUGAAGCCAGAGGAAACUCUGGUGGAGGCUCGUAGCGAUUCUGACGUGCAAAUCGAUCGUCAAAUUUGGGUAUAGGGGCGAAAGAC
rnacentral:rRNA from 1 species